UCGAGUGCCGGGCGCAAGCCCGUACCCGCACCCAGUGUCGACCGUCCCCGUUGCUUCGGCGCGCCGUCCCCGGGCGGCCGCCGAAGGACCCAACCAAACGCAUGGCAAACCGGUCCGUCCGAGGAUACGCGAAUCAGUCA
rnacentral:misc_RNA from 1 species